rnacentral:lncRNA from 7 species
GGAAAAGAGAAAAUAGUACUAAGGUUAACAGUUUGUGAACGUAUAUGUUAAAUAUAUGCAUGUCCCUAUACAGCAGGAAAAGAAAAGGAGUUGGAGGAGAGCAAUUCUAUAUCCUAGUGCCUGUUAUCUGGGCAGAGCAAGGAACUGAGGAGACAUACCCAGGAGCAGCCCACGGCUCUGCAGCGUUGCUCACGCUGAUACCCUACUGCAGCCCAGCAGGGUGCCAAGGAGCUGCUGUGGGAACUGGCUGGAGCAACAACAGAGCCCAGCCAGCUCCCUCCCAUUGACAGCAAGCUCAGCAAAGCAUUGAAGCUGGCUGAACUUACACCUUGGGGUGGUUCAGUGUCACCUGCUCAGAAACAAGGAGCAGCUUUGCUAGACCGUCCCAGCAGCACAGAAGUGCCAUCUGGACCUGGGAGAAGUGUGAAUCUUGUCUCAACUACAGAUGAUCCUAGCACUGUGCAAGCAAACACCCUUAAGGAAAGAGUGCAAUAUGAAUUUGGGUGUAACCAAGCUAUGGUGAGGUCCCCUCCAAAGGAGCAAGAUUAAAUAUGGCUGUAUGAGCCAGCACUAAUCUACUGAGAAGUGGGCAUGCUGGACCAUAGGCAGCCAGCAGUUCGCAGCACAUUGGGGUGCUCCCAUGGCCUGCAGAGAAGAGGGCUACAUGAGACAAGUGUCCCCCUCCAGAGCUUCAAAUGGACCUGAAGCUCCAUGCUUCUCCCCGUGGGAACAAGCUCAAUUUUGUGCUUUGGUCUAAAGAGAGAUCAAGAAGCACUACCAGAACCAGAGCCAGAAAGGAAUGGGUAAUGGGGAAAUGAUGUACUUGAAACUCAUUACAGAUCUUCAUAGAAACUCUGCUGAAUGUGCCUUGGGCUUUGUGCUGAUCAGCACACACUGAGCUUACUGCAUAAUUCAUCUCUCUUGUGUCACAUUUAAUGUAUAACAUGCAUUUCCUGUUAAUUAUGAAAAUAAAGAUGCGUUCUUUCUUUUAGAAACAUAAUCAUUAAAUUACUACAG